AAGUCGAACGAGAUUUUCGGAUCUAGUGGCGCACGGGUGAGUAACGCGUGGGAACCUACCUUUUAGCACGGGAUAACGUUUGGAAACGAACGCUAAUACCGUAUACGCCCUCCGGGGGAAAGGUCAGCCGCUGAAAGAGGGGCCCGCGUCUGAUUAGCUUGUUGGUAAGGUAAUGGCUUACCAAGGCUACGAUCAGUAGCUGGUCUGAGAGGAUGAUCAGCCACACUGGGACUGAGACACGGCCCAGACUCCUACGGGAGGCAGCAGUGGGGAAUAUUGGACAAUGGAGGCAACUCUGAUCCAGCAAUGCCGCGUGUGUGAUGAAGGCCCUAGGGUUGUAAAGCACUUUCAACGGUGAAGAUGAUGACGGUAGCCGUAGAAGAAGCCCCGGCUAACUUCGUGCCAGCAGCCGCGGUAAUACGAAGGGGGGGCGAGCGUUAUUCGGAAUUAUUGGGCGUAAAGGGCUCGCAGGCUGCUUGAACAGUUAGACGUGAAAUCCCCGGGC
rnacentral:rRNA from 1 species